AGCAUUUUCAAACAUUAGCAAAUAGCAAUCAAACACACAAACAUGGAAGAAACAUGUAGUCGUGCUGGUUUUGGAAAGAAAUUUACUAAGGCGCGCAAAGCCUUAUUUGUUAACGGUGGGACUUCAAUUUGGUUUCGCCGGAGGAUACAUCUUCUCCGUCGCUAGUCUCAACCAUGGAAUGAGUCGUUAUGUGUUCGUUGUCUAUCGCAAUGCCAUCGCUGCAUUGGCCCUCGCUCCUUUUGCAUUAAUCGUUAUGUGUUCGUUGUCAUGAUGAAAAUUAAUUAACAUUACUCUCUACAAUUUUGCAGGAAAAUAAGGCCAAAGAUAAUACUUCCUGUCUUCUUACAGAUAGUGGCAGUCGGAUUUGUGGAGUAAUGAUGAAAAACAUGCCAAGGGUUCACUUUCUUGGGCAUGCAAUAUACGUCGGCUUCAUUUGCCUCUGCCAUAAUGAAUGCCGUGCCUCCUGUCACUUUUGUGCUAGCCGUAAUUCUAAGGUUAGAGCGUGUGAAUGUAAAAGAGGUGCGGAGCCUAGCAAAGGUGAUUGGGACGUUGGUAACCUUUUCAGGUGCUUUGUUAAUGACAUUUACAAAGGUCCUCAAAUUAAGCUAUUUUUCUCUCCUGUCACAACCCACCACCAAGAUGGAAGCCACUCUCCUGAUGAGGCUCUCAGGGACUGUCUUUCUCCUCCUCGGUUGUGUCGCUUGGUCAUCUUUCUUCAUUUUACAGGGUAAAUUAAAUUGUGAAUUGAAGUCGAUAACAUUGAAAAGGUAUCCGGCAGAAUUGUGACUGUCUUCAUUGGUAUGCUUAUCGGGUGCUUUGCAAGCCAGCGUGGUGGCAAUUGUGGCCACUCGUCAUUCUGGGCUUGUUGCAUGGGCCUUAGGUUGGGACUUCAGGCUCCAUGGCCCUCUCUACACGUAUCAUUGGAGCUGUCAUUAUCGCAUUGGGUCAGUACUCUGUGGUGUGGGGCAAAGGCAAAGACUAUUCAAACCCCACGGCGCCAUCAUCACCUACAACAAAGCACACAGAGACACAACAGCUUCCAAUUUCCUCAUCUGAUAUCUAACACAGAUUUCCAAAGGAAUUUAUGCAUGGUGCAUUUCUGCUUCUGCUGCCUCAUAAAUCUGCAAUAGUUAUGGAUGUUAAUUUCUUGUUUUCGGUCUCCACGUUGGGAAGGGAAAGUAUCAGAUUGAGACAAGAGGCAGUGUCAUAUUGGCAUUGCUUUAAUAUAUCAUCCAGAAACAAAAUAUAUCUAACGCUCUAUAUGUGAUCAUAAGCUUUUAAUCGCCUUGUCUUGGGUGGUUGAUCAUCCUUUAGCUCUUAUCAAACGAUAAGCUUUUAAUAAUUAUUAAAUCUAUUGAUAUCUC